GACGAACGCUGGCGGCGUGCUUAACACAUGCAAGUCGAACGGAAAGGCCCUGCUUUUGUGGGUUGCUCGAGUGGCGAACGGGUGAUUAACACGUGAUUAACCUGCCCUUGACUUUGGGUUAACUUCAGGAAACUGGGGCUAAUACCGGAUAGGAGCUCCUGCUGCAUGGUGGGGGUUGGAAAGUUUCGGCGGUUGGGGAUGGACUCGCGGCUUAUCAGCUUGUUGGUGGGGUAGUGGCUUACCAAGGCUUUGACGGGUAGCCGGCCUGAGAGGGUGACCGGCCACAUUGGGACUGAGAUACGGCCCAGACUCCUACGGGAGGCAGCAGUGGGGAAUAUUGCACAAUGGGCGGAAGCCUGAUGCAGCAACGCCGCGUGCGGGAUGACGGCCUUCGGGUUGUAAACCGCUUUCGCCUGUGACGAAGCGUGAGUGACGGUAAUGGGUAAAGAAGCACCGGCUAACUACGUG
rnacentral:rRNA from 1 species